rnacentral:rRNA from 1 species
UACGUAGGGGGCAAGCGUUGUCCGGAAUCAUUGGGCGUAAAGAGCGUGUAGGCGGCCCGAUAAGUCCGCUGUGAAAGUCCAGGGCUCAACCCUGGAAUGCCGGUGGAUACUGUCGGGCUCGAAUCCGGAAGAGGUGAGUGGGAAUUCCUGGUGUAGCGGUGAAAUGCGCAGAUAUCAGGAGGAACACCGGUGGCGAAGGCGGCAUCCUGGACCAAUACUGACACUGAGGAGCGAAAGCGUGGGGAGCGAACAGG